rnacentral:lncRNA from 1 species
AUGUUAUAAUCAAAUAAUGAAAAUAAAAAUAAAAAAAAAUUAAAAAAGUAAUAAACAACAAAAAAAAAAAAAGUAAAGAAAAGAAAAAAACAGUUAAAAGAAGAAAAAUUUGGAAAAAGGAAGUUAAAAUAAAAUAAACCAACCAUGAUAUUUGGAAAAAAGAAAGGUUUUUAAAAUCAGAAGUAAUAUAGGAAUAUUAUAGUUAUAGAAAAUAUAUUUUGUUAAUAUAAUAAAUGAAAUUGGGAUAGAAAAAAUAGCUAAACAAAAAAAAAAUAAAAAAAAAGAAGAAGAAGAAGAAGAAGAACAAAAAAAAAAAUAUAUAUAUAAUAUAUAACUCUCUCUCAUACCACAUAUAUAUAUAUAUAUAUAUAUAUAUAUAUAUAUAUAUAUAUACUCAUAUACAUAUAUACAUAUAAAGCUUACAUCAUCUAUAUAAUAAAUAGACAUAUUUCGAAUUAGCAAAUUAAUUAAAAAAAAAAAGAAAAAACAAAUUUUUUAUUUUUUUUUUUUCUAUGAACAAAAUGACGAAAGAAAGAGAGCCAAUCGAUGAAGAUGAAAUGAGAAUAACCUCAACAGGACGUAUGACGAAUUAUGUUAAUUAUGGAGCAAAAUUAUUAGGAGAUGAAGACAGAAAAAGUUUAAAAAUUAAAGCAACAGGUAAUGCUAUUGGUAAAGCUGUAACAUUAGCAGAAAUAAUAAAAAGAAGAUUUAAAGGAUUACAUCAAAUAACAAAAUGUGGAAGUACAGUAAUUACUGAUCAAUAUAUGAGUAGCCAAGACAAUAAUGAGCAUGUAGUACAAGAAAGAACCGUUUCUUUUAUUGAUAUCCAUCUAUCAAGAGAUCAAUUAGAUGUUAAAGAUGCUGGUUACCAAUCACCACUAGAUGAGAAAUAUGUUAAAGAAAUGUCACCAGAAGAAAUAGUUAGUAGACCAUUCAGAGGUAGAGGAUUUAGACCAAGAUAUUUUAGAGGAUUUAGAGGCGGUAGAGGUGGUUUUUCAAGAAGAGGUGGUUAUAGACAUUUUAAUGAUAGGCUAUAUGAUGGAAGAAGUAGUUUUAGAGGUAGUAGAGGAUAUGGUGGUAGUUUUGGAAGAGGUGGUUAUAGAUCAAGUGGUGGUGGUGGUAGAGGUGGUUUUAGAGGAAGCAGAAACAUAUCUUAA